rnacentral:rRNA from 1 species
UGGCGUACAACUUUGAGCGGUGGAUCACUCGGCUCGUGUGUCGAUGAAGAGUGCAGC